ACGAGCGCACCCUUGAUCUUAGUUGCCAGCAUUCAGUUGGGCACUCUAAGGUGACUGCCGGUGACAAACCGGAGGAAGGUGGGGAUGACGUCAAAUCAUCAUGCCCCUUAUGACCUGGGCUACACACGUGCUACAAUGGACAGAACAAAGGGCUGCGAGACCGCAAGGUUUAGCCAAUCCCACAAAUCUGUUCUCAGUUCGGAUCGCAGUCUGCAACUCGACUGCGUGAAGCUGGAAUCGCUAGUAAUCGCGGAUCAGCAUGCCGCGGUGAAUACGUUCCCGGGCCUU
rnacentral:rRNA from 1 species